rnacentral:rRNA from 1 species
UGCCAGACUCCUACGGGAGGCAGCAGUGAGGAAUAUUGGUCAAUGGGCGAGAGCCUGAACCAGCCAAGUCGCGUGAAGGAUGACGGCCCUACGGGUUGUAAACUUCUUUUGUCAGGGAGCAAUUGGGUCCACGCGUGGGCUUAGCGAGAGUACCUGAAGAAAAAGCAUCGGCUAACUCCGUGCCAGCAGCCGCGGUAAUACGGAGGAUGCGAGCGUUAUCCGGAUUUAUUGGGUUUAAAGGGUGCGUAGGCGGAAUAUCAAGUCAGCGGUAAAAAUUCGGGGCUCAACCCCGUCGUGCCGUUGAAACUGGCGGGCUGGAGUUGGAGAGAAGUACGCGGAAUGCGCGGUGUAGCGGUGAAAUGCUUAGAUAUCGCGCAGAACCCCGAUUGCGAAGGCAGCGUACCGGCUCCACACUGACGCUGAGGCACGAAAGCGUGGGUAUCGAACAGGAUUAGAUACCCUGGUAC